rnacentral:lncRNA from 1 species
GGGUACUAAUGAUUUUCGUUUGAAAAAGAUUUAUUGCUUUUCAGGGGCAAAAUCGUAAUUUUAUCAAACCCUGAUUUGAAAGCAUCAAGUGAUAGAACAAAAGAUUUGUGAUCCAUUGGUAAAAAUUUUAUUGUUUUUGGACUUGUAUUUUGAAAGAUAUGCAUGUUUGAAAAAUAUGAGUCGACCCAUGAGUCGACUCAUGGC